rnacentral:rRNA from 1 species
AUGGACGGGGAGCCGCCCGCGCAGGGCCCCUCCCCCAGCGCCGCCGCCGCCUCCGGGUCCGGCGGCGGCGGGGAGAAGGGCGCCCCGUGCCAGGAGUGCGGGGAUCAGCCGUGGAAGUACCGGUGCCCGGACUGCUCCUGCCUCACAUGCAGCCUCCCCUGCGUGCAGGCCCACAAGCGCUGCACCGCCUGCUCCGGCAAGCGCCCCCGCACCGUCCCCGUCCCACUCGCCCAGUUCGACGACAACCAGCUCCUCUCCGAUUACAACUUGCUGGAGGAGACGAGCCAGGUCAGGGAGUCGGCCCACAGGCUGCUCGGCGGCUUCGGCCGCAACUACGGCUGCAGCUUCGAGGGACGCCAUGGCGCCCAACUACCGCCGUGGCUCUCCUUCCUCCGCAAGGCUGCGGAGCGCCGGGGCGUCCGGCUCGCCUUCCAACCCAUUGGCAUGACCAGGAGGGAGCAGAACCGCUCGCGGCACGACAGGAGGGUUCUGUUGGCGACGCUGACGGUCGUUGAAAGGUUCGUGGACUCAACGGUGUCGUGGCAGCCGGUGCACGGAGAAGCAAAGCUGCUACAUGUCCUCUACCUCUGGCACCCCAGCACAUGGGGUGCGGGGCACUUGUACGAUGGCUUCCUCCGUCCGCUGGUGCAGUAG